rnacentral:lncRNA from 1 species
CUGCAGCAAUAGCGUGCGUGCUAGGAAUAGUAAGCAUCUGGAACUCACAACAGGUGCAUGUUCUCUCCCAUAGAUGGACAACGAACGCUGAGUCUGCGUCGUCAUGGACCUUGUACUGACCAUCUCCAAUCUUCAUCACCAUAAAACCAGAACCAGCCUCAUAAUUAUCAAUCACCAUCUCAUUCACCUUGGGGGGUAAGAUGUUAUCUUCCACUCUAGCCGCUUCCCUCCGCA